ACCUUGGAAGAAGAAGAAGAUACAAGAUGGGUCUGCAAAGGUUUCACUGCAUGGUUCUGCUGCUCUUGGUCUCCACCUUCCAGGUUCACAUCUCUUUGAGUACUGCAGAGGCUGGGCCACUUCCCUUCACCAAGCAAGAGAGAUAUGUCGCGGUGCUGGAGUCACUGGGAAUCAAGUGCCAGUGCUGUGAUGGGGCUGGAGGUGAAUGCAGGAGCAGCUGGGACUCCAACUGCAGCAAGCUGGACUGCCAUAACCUCAAGUUCUUAUGAUUUUGGUCUGAAACUUUCUUUCAUGUUGUCUUGUUCGAUCUUUCUUGUAUUUUCUACCGUUCCAUAAAACAUGGCAGAUCAGUUUGAGGCUGCAAGAAGAAAGCUUGAUGGAAAAGAAAAACCAUGGAUUAGUUUGUUUGAUGGAUAUCUACUAAUAUAUAAAGAGAUCAUCUGCAAGUGCAGUCUGAAGUUAUCCUA